AGUGAACGCUGGCGGUAGGCCUAACACAUGCAAGUCGAACGGCAGCACAGUAAGAGCUUGCUCUUACGGGUGGCGAGUGGCGGACGGGUGAGGAAUACAUCGGAAUCUACUUUUUCGUGGGGGAUAACGUAGGGAAACUUACGCUAAUACCGCAUACGACCUACGGGUGAAAGCAGGGGAUCUUCGGACCUUGCGCGAUUGAAUGAGCCGAUGUCGGAUUAGCUAGUUGGCGGGGUAAGCGCCCACCAAGGCGACGAUCCGUAGCUGGUCUGAGAGGAUGAUCAGCAACACUGGAACUGAGACACGGUCCAGACUCCUACGGGAGGCAGCAGUGGGGAAUAUUGGACAAUGGGCGCAAGCCUGAUCCAGCCAUACCGCGUGGGUGAAGAAGGCCUUCGGGUUGUAAAGCCCUUUUGUUGGGAAAGAAAAGCAGCAGGUUAAUACCCCGCUGUUCUGACGGUACCCAAAGAAUAAGCACCGGCUAACUUCGUG
rnacentral:rRNA from 1 species